rnacentral:rRNA from 1 species
CCUACGGGAGGCUGCAGUGGGGAAUAUUGGACAAUGGGGGCAACCCUGAUCCAGCCAUGCCGCGUGUGUGAAGAAGGCCCUCGGGUUGUUAAGCACUUUCAGUGAGGAAGAACGCCUGGUGGUUAAUACCCAUCAGGAAAGACAUCACUCACAGAAGAAGCACCGGCUAACUCCGUGCCAGCAGCCGCGGUAAUACGGAGGGUGCGAGCGUUAAUCGGAAUUACUGGGCGUAAAGCGCGCGUAGGUGGCUUGAUAAGCCGGUUGUGAAAGCCCCGGGCUCAACCUGGGAACGGCAUCCGGAACUGUCAAGCUAGAGUGCAGGAGAGGAAGGUAGAAUUCCCGGUGUAGCGGUGAAAUGCGUAGAGAUCGGGAGGAAUACCAGUGGCGAAGGCGGCCUUCUGGACUGACACUGACACUGAGGUGCGAAAGCGUGGGUAGCAAACAGGAUUAGAUACCCGAGUAGUC